UGAGGUGCCACGUAAGAAGUCCAAUUAUCUGGAAGCUACUCUGGAGGUACUAUUUAUACUCACACUGCGCCCAGACUUUCAAGCCAAGGUGCCAGACAUGUUAAUGAUCUUGGACCCUCCAGCCCAUCCAUCUGCUACUGAGUGAUCAGUUUUAUGGCAGCUACACCUGAGAUUUUAGGAUCCAAGCCUGGGUUCGGGCAGCCCUAAGAGACUCAGCCACCUGUCCUUAGUGCACAGACUACAGUGGCACCUCAUGAUAAAGAGCACAGAGAAGAGGUUUACUUCAUGACUGCAUCAGAAAGAGCAACAAGCUAAGAGGUCUGGUGACCCCUAAACCCAUCUUUGUGGGACUGACAUGAAGUUUGCCUUUAAAUAAAAGGCAAGGAAGUA